rnacentral:rRNA from 1 species
CACGUAGGAGGCGAGCGUUGUCCGGAAUCAUUGGGCGUAAAGAGCGCGCAGGCGGCCCGGCAAGUCGGGUGUGAAAUCCCGGGGCUCAACCCCGGGACUGCAUUCGAUACUGCCGGGCUAGAGGUAGGUAGGGGAGAUCGGAAUUCCUGGUGUAGCGGUGAAAUGCGCAGAUAUCAGGAGGAACACCGGUGGCGAAGGCGGAUCUCUGGGCCGGACCUGACGCUCAGGCGCGAAAGCUAGGGGAGCGAACAGG